rnacentral:rRNA from 1 species
CCUACGGGAGGCAGCAGUGAGGAAUAUUGGUCAAUGGACGAGAGUCUGAACCAGCCAAGUCGCGUGAAGGAUGACUGCCCUAUGGGUUGUAAACUUCUUUUAUAUGGGAAUAAAAUGUUCCACGUGUGGGAUUUUGUAUGUACCAUAUGAAUAAGGAUCGGCUAACUCCGUGCCAGCAGCCGCGGUAAUACGGAGGAUCCGAGCGUUAUCCGGAUUUAUUGGGUUUAAAGGGUGCGUAGGUGGAUUGUUAAGUCAGUUGUGAAAGUUUGCGGCUCAACCGUAAAAUUGCAGUUGAAACUGGCAGUCUUGAGUACAGUAGAGGUGGGCGGAAUGCGUGGUGUAGCGGUGAAAUGCUUAGAUAUCGCGAAGAACUCCGAUUGCGAAGGCAGUUCACUGGACUGCAACUGACACUGAGGCUCGAAAGUGUGGGUAUCAAACAGGAUUAGAUACCCUUGUAGUC